CGGCGGACGGGUGAGUAACGCGUAGGCGAACCUGCCUCAGCAGAGGGAUAGCCAUUGGAAACGAUGAUUAAAACCUCAUAAUGCUGGACCAACACAUGUUGGAUCAGCCAGAGAUUUAUCGGCUGGGGAUGGGCCUGCGUCUGAUUAACUGGUUGGGUGAGGUAACGGCUCACCAAGGUAACGAUCAGUAGCCGACCUGAGAGGGUGAUCGGCCACAUUGGAACUGAGACACGGUCCAAACUUCUACGGAAGGCAGCAGUAAGGAAUCUUGCACAAUGGGGGAAACCCUGAUGCAGCAACGCCGCGUGAACGAUGAAGGCCUUAGGGUUGUAAAGUUCUGAUCUGUGGGAAGAAGAAAGUGACGGUACCACAGGAGAAAGCCCCGGCUAAAUACGUGCCAGCCGCAGC
rnacentral:rRNA from 1 species